CCCGGCACAAGCGGUGGAGUAUGUGGUUUAAUUCGAUGCAACGCGAAGAACCUUACCUGGUCUUGACAUCCCGGAGACCCUUAGGAAACGUAGGGGGUGCUUCCAUCUGGAAGAAUCUGGAGACAGGUGCUGCAUGGCUGUCGUCAGCUCGUGUCGUGAGAUGUUGGGUUAAGUCCCGCAACGAGCGCAACCCUUGCCUUUAGUUGCCAGCAGUUCGGCUGGGCACUCUAAAGGGACUGCCGGUGUUAAACCGGAGGAAGGUGGGGAUGACGUCAAGUCCUCAUGGCCUUUAUGACCAGGGCUACACACGUACUACAAUGGCCGAUACAAAGGGCAGCGACACUGCGAGGUGAAGCCAAUCCCGUAAAAUCGGUCUCAGUCCGGAUUGGAGUCUGCAACUCGACUCCAUGAAGUUGGAAUCGCUAGUAAUCGUGGAUCAGCAUGCCACGGUGAAUACGUUCCCGGGCCUU
rnacentral:rRNA from 1 species